AUGGAUGUCCUGCAAUAUGGAGUGUUCCUGGUUUUCAUUUCAAUUGUUUGUGGACAGUCGCUGACCUCAUCUGAGUCCGUGGUGAAGAAUCCUGGACAGUCUGUCACUUUGUCCUGUACUGUGUCUGGAUUCUCUAUGAGCAGCUACUACAUGCACUGGAUCCGUCAGAAACCAGGGAAAGGACUGGAAUGGAUUGGAUUCAUUGACACUGGCACUGGUACAGCAUAUGCCCAGUCUCUCCAGGGCCAGUUCUCCAUCACCAAAUACACCAGCAAAAACAUCCUGCAUUUAGAGAUGAAAAGCCUGAAAGCUGAAGACACAGCUGUUUAUUACUGUGCCAGAGACUCACAGUCACACAAAUAG